AGUUUGAUCCUGGCUCAGGAUGAACGCUAGCUACAGGCUUAACACAUGCAAGUCGGGGGGCAGCAUGAACUUAGCUUGCUAAGUUUGAUGGCGACCGGCGCACGGGUGAGUAACACGUAUCCAACCUGCCGAUGACUCGGGGAUAGCCUUUCGAAAGAAAGAUUAAUACCCGAUGGCAUAGUUCUUCCGCAUGGUGGAACUAUUAAAGAAUUUCGGUCAUCGAUGGGGAUGCGUUCCAUUAGGUUGUUGGCGGGGUAACGGCCCACCAAGCCUUCGAUGGAUAGGGGUUCUGAGAGGAAGGUCCCCCACAUUNGGAACUGAGACACGGUCCAAACUCCUACGGGAGGCAGCAGUGAGGAAUAUUGGUCAAUGGACGAGAGUCUGAACCAGCCAAGUAGCGUGAAGGAUGACUGCCCUAUGGGUUGUAAACUUCUUUUAUACGGGAAUAAAGUGAGGCACGUGUGCCUUUUUGUAUGUACCGUAUGAAUAAGGAUCGGCUAACUCCGUGCCAGCAGCCGCGGUAAUACGGAGGAUCCGAGCGUUAUCCGGAUUUAUUGGGUUUAAAGGGAGCGUAGGCGGACGCUUAAGUCAGUUGUGAAAGUUUGCGGCUCAACCGUAAAAUUGCAGUUGAUACUGGGUGUCUUGAGUACAGUAGAGGCAGGCGGAAUUCGUGGUGUAGCGGUGAAAUGCUUAGAUAUCACGAAGAACUCCGAUUGCGAAGGCAGCUUGCUGGACUGUAACUGACGCUGAUGCUCGAAAGUGUGGGUAUCAAACAGGAUUAGAUACCCUGGUAGUCCACACAGUAAACGAUGAAUACUCGCUGUUUGCGAUAUACAGUAAGCGGCCAAGCGAAAGCGUUAAGUAUUCCACCUGGGGAGUACGCCGGCAACGGUGAAACUCAAAGGAAUUGACGGGGGCCCGCACAAGCGGAGGAACAUGUGGUUUAAUUCGAUGAUACGCGAGGAACCUUACCCGGGCUUGAAUUGCAACUGAAUGAUGUGGAGACAUGUCAGCCGCAAGGCAGUUGUGAAGGUGCUGCAUGGUUGUCGUCAGCUCGUGCCGUGAGGUGUCGGCUUAAGUGCCAUAACGAGCGCAACCCUUAU
rnacentral:rRNA from 1 species